GGCUGAGCUCAGGGAACUUCACCCCUUUUAGGAGGAGAGAGAUGCUGAGACACCCGGCCACACACUCAACCUCAAGAGUGAGGCGAGAUCCCAGGCGGGCACUAGAUAAGAAAACUAGCUCUGAAGAGGUGGCCAUGAUCACCCAGAAAGUAAGAAAUGAAGCCAGAAUUCUGUACUACAUUGCUUGGCUCAAGGAUGCAGGCCCAUGGUGGAUAGAGCCGGGGUCUUAUUCAUUAAAUGUACGCUAGAUACUGAA